UCGCCUGUUUAUCAAAAACAUCGCCUCCUUCCCCUACUGUUUAUAGGAGGUCCCGCCUGCCCUGUGACCAAAAGUUUAACGGCCGCGGUAUUUUAACCGUGCGAAGCUAGCGCAAUCAAUUGUCUUUUAAAUGGAGACCUGUAUGAAUGGCAUAACGAGGGUUUGACUGUCUCUUUUUCCUGGUCAGUGAAACUGAUCUGCCCGUGCAGAAGCGGGCAUACCGCCACAAGACGAGAAGACCCUAUGGAGCUUUAGACGCUAACCAACCCCGAAAAGCACCCUACGCCAGGGCCCAAACAACGUGGUUUUGGCACAACCGUCUUCGGUUGGGGCGACCGCGGGAGAUAGCACAGCUCCCGAGUGGAUGGGGGAAACCCUAAAACCAAGAGCUACAGCUCGAAGUCACAAAACAUUUGACCAACAAUGAUCCGGCUUCAUGCCGACCAACGGACCAAGUUACCCUAGGGAUAACAGCGCAAUCCCCUCCCAGAGUUCAUAUCGACGAGGGGGUUUACGACCUCGAUGUUGGAUCAGGACAUCCUAAUGGUGCAGCCGCUAUUAAGGGUUCGUUUGUUCAACGAUUAAAGUCCUACGUGAUCUGAGUUCARACCGGA
rnacentral:rRNA from 1 species